rnacentral:rRNA from 1 species
GUGAGGAAUAUUGCGCAAUGGAGGCAACUCUGACGCAGCCAUGCCGCGUGCAGGAAGAAGGCGCUACGCGUUGUAAACUGCUUUUAACCGGGAAGAAACCCCAGGACGUGUCCUGGGUUGACGGUACCGGAGGAAUAAGCACCGGCUAACUUCGUGCCAGCAGCCGCGGUAAUACGAAGGGUGCAAGCGUUAUCCGGAUUCAUUGGGUUUAAAGGGUGCGUAGGCGGAGCGUUAAGUCAGUGGUGAAAUCCUGCAGCUUAACUGUAGACUUGCCAUUGAUACUGGAGCUCUUGAGUGCGCUUGAAGUGGGCGGAAUGUGCCGUGUAGCGGUGAAAUGCUUAGAUAUGGCACAGAACACCAAUUGCGAAGGCAGCUCACUAAGGCGAUACUGACGCUGAGGCACGAAAGCGUGGGGAUCGAACAGGAUUAGAAACCCGGGUAGUCC